rnacentral:rRNA from 1 species
UCUAGCCAUGGGCAGGUUGAAGGUUGGGUAACACUAACUGGAGGACCGAACCGACUAAUGUUGAAAAAUUAGCGGAUGACCUGUGGCUGGGGGUGAAAGGCCAAUCAAACCGGGAGAUAGCUGGUUCUCCCCGAAAGCUAUUUAGGUAGCGCCUCGUGAAUUCAUCUCCGGGGGUAGAGCACUGUUUCGGCUAGGGGGCCAUCCCGGCUUACCAACCCGAUGCAAACUGCGAAUACCGGAGAAUGUUAUCACGGGAGACACACGGCGGGUGCUAACGUCCGUCGUGAAGAGGGAAACAACCCAGACCGCCAGCUAAGGUCCCAAAGUCAUGGUUAAGUGGGAAACGAUGUGGGAAGGCCCAGACAGCCAGGAUGUUGGCUUAGAAGCAGCCAUCAUUUAAAGAAAGCGUAAUAGCUCACUGGUCGAGUCGGCCUGCGCGGAAGAUGUAACGGGGCUAAACCAUGCACCGAAGCUGCGGCAGCGACACUGUGUGUUGUUGGGUAGGGGAGCGUUCUGUAAGCCUGUGAAGGUGUGUCGUGAGGCAUGCUGGAGGUAUCAGAAGUGCGAAUGCUGACAUAAGUAACGAUAAAGCGGGUGAAAAGCCCGCUCGCCGGAAGACCAAGGGUUCCUGUCCAACGUUAAUCGGGGCAGGGUGAGUCGACCCCUAAGGCGAGGCCGAAAGGCGUAGUCGAUGGGAAACGGGUUAAUAUUCCCGUACUUGGUGUUACUGCGAAGGGGGGACGGAGAAGGCUAUGUUGGCCGGGCGACGGUUGUCCCGGUUUAAGCGUGUAGGUGUGUGUUCCAGGUAAAUCCGGUUCACUUUAACACUGAGGCGUGACGACGAGGCACUACGGUGCUGAAGCAACAAAUGCCCUGCUUCCAGGAAAAGCCUCUAAGCAUCAGGUAACAUCAAAUCGUACCCCAAACCGACACAGGUGGUCAGGUAGAGAAUACCAAGGCGCUUGAGAGAACUCGGGUGAAGGAACUAGGCAAAAUGGUGCCGUAACUUCGGGAGAAGGCACGCUGACACGUAGGUGAAGUGAUUUACUCAUGGAGCUGAAGUCAGUCGAAGAUACCAGCUGGCUGCAACUGUUUAUUAAAAACACAGCACUGUGCAAACACGAAAGUGGACGUAUACGGUGUGACGCCUGCCCGGUGCCGGAAGGUUAAUUGAUGGGGUCAGCGCAAGCGAAGCUCCUGAUCGAAGCCCCGGUAAACGGCGGCCGUAACUAUAACGGUCCUAAGGUAGCGAAAUUCCUUGUCGGGUAAGUUCCGACCUGCACGAAUGGCGUAAUGAUGGCCAGGCUGUCUCCACCCGAGACUCAGUGAAAUUGAACUCGCUGUGAAGAUGCAGUGUACCCGCGGCAAGACGGAAAGACCCCGUGAACCUUUACUAUAGCUUGACACUGAACAUUGAGCCUUGAUGUGUAGGAUAGGUGGGAGGCUUUGAAGUGUGGACGCCAGUCUGCAUGGAGCCGACCUUGAAAUACCACCCUUUAAUGUUUGAUGUUCUAACGUGGACCCGUUACCCGGGUUGCGGACAGUGUCUGGUGGGUAGUUUGACUGGGGCGGUCUCCUCCUAAAGAGUAACGGAGGAGCACGAAGGUUGGCUAAUCCUGGUCGGACAUCAGGAGGUUAGUGCAAUGGCAUAAGCCAGCUUGACUGCGAGCGUGACGGCGCGAGCAGGUGCGAAAGCAGGUCAUAGUGAUCCGGUGGUUCUGAAUGGAAGGGCCAUCGCUCAACGGAUAAAAGGUACUCCGGGGAUAACAGGCUGAUACCGCCCAAGAGUUCAUAUCGACGGCGGUGUUUGGCACCUCGAUGUCGGCUCAUCACAUCCUGGGGCUGAAGUAGGUCCCAAGGGUAUGGCUGUUCGCCAUUUAAAGUGGUACGCGAGCUGGGUUUAGAACGUCGUGAGACAGUUCGGUCCCUAUCUGCCGUGGGCGCUGGAGAACUGAGGGGGGCUGCUCCUAGUACGAGAGGACCGGAGUGGACGCAUCACUGGUGUUCGGGUUGUCAUGCCAAUGGCACUGCCCGGUAGCUAAAUGCGGAAGAGAUAAGUGCUGAAAGCAUCUAAGCACGAAACUUGCCCCGAGAUGAGUUCUCCCUGAGACUUAGAGUCUCCUGAAGGAACGUUGAAGACGACGACGUUGAU